UACGGAGGAUCCGAGCGUUAUCCGGAUUUACUGGGUGUAAAGGGCGCGUAGGCGGGUAGGCAAGUCAGAUGUGAAAUCCAUGGGCUCAACCCAUGAACUGCAUUUGAAACUGUUUAUCUUGAGUGUCGGAGAGGCAAGCGGAAUUCCGUGUGUAGCGGUGAAAUGCGUAGAUAUACGGAGGAACACCAGUGGCGAAGGCGGCUUGCUGGACGAUAACUGACGCUGAGGCGCGAAAGCGUGGGGAGCAAACAGGAUUAGA
rnacentral:rRNA from 1 species